UAGCCGUAAACGAUGCGGACUGGGUGUUGGGAUGGCUUUGAGCUGUUCCGGUGCCGAAGGGAAGCUGUUAAGUCCGCCGCCUGGGAAGUACGGUCGCAAGACUGAAACUUAAAGGAAUUGGCGGGGGGAGCACCACAACGCGUGGAGCCUGCGGUUUAAUUGGAUUCAACGCCGGAAAUCUCACCGGAUAGGACAGACAUAUGAUAGUCGGGCUGAAGACUCUACUUGAUGAUCUGAGAGGAGGUGCAUGGCGUCAGUGAC
rnacentral:rRNA from 1 species